GGUGAUGUAACUUAAUUGGUAAAGUGUUUGUCUGGCAUACACAAGGCCCUGGGUUUGAUCCCUGGCACUACAU
rnacentral:tRNA from 1 species